CGAGUAUCAAUGAUGAAGCAUCUCUGACUGCUGCAUAAGACUUGAGUGUGCUGUGCGGAUACCAACCUUGGAGAGCUGAGGACUCG
rnacentral:snoRNA from 1 species